rnacentral:lncRNA from 1 species
UAGUUCAACCUUUCAAGUAGCCCAUUGAUAGAAUCUUCAUGGUUUUCAAUAUCACCUCCUUCAACAUAACAAUUUCUCUAUUUUUGGUAAAUUUGUUUCCUUUGCAACCUAUAUAAAAAAAAUAAAAUAAUAAAUAAAUAAAGAUAGAAAGAAUACAAAACCUUUAAACUACAUGCAACAAUCAAUAAGUAUAAUUGAAGUUAUAAAUCUUCACAAAAAUUAAUUCAACUUUGCUCACCACCAUAAACUCCCUAGUUAAAGCAAAAAAUUUCUUAAGGGAUUCCCUUGAAGUGGGUUCUUAGUUAGGACUAAGCAAAAACUUGGUACAUUUAGCAACAUGUUUCUCAUUACUAAUAUUGAUGAAAAAAAUAUGGUUAGAGAUUUUCAUUGUUAGAAGAUAUGAAAUAGCGGUCGAUAAUGUUGAGGAAAAGAGUAACAACUAAGAAACAUGAUUUAAGAGUAUUUAGGAAUUAAAACGAUGAAUAUCUAAUAUUUCUAUUUAUUAGUAAAUUCUAUAUGUUAUAUAAUUCUUAGUUUUUGGAGGAUUAAUUGUGAUUAUCGUUUCUUGUGUAUAUAAGUUAUCCUCUAAUUGGAUAGGUUAAUAGAGUCACCAACAAUUGAGAAUAAAAGAGAAAUAGGAACUAAAGAGCAGUUUUUUCAUAGUUAAUGUAUAGUCUGAAUAAAUAAAUUGAUUAAGAAUACUAAUAUAUCUUGGAUUAAUAACAAAUAUUAUUUGCCCAUUUCCUACAAAUGUUAUUAAUAACAAAUAAAUUUAAGAACACUAUAGAAAUCUUUUGGUAAAAUUAAAAUUCACAAAUAAAAAAUUACAAAAUUAGAAAAUUAAAAAAAUGAUAAUAAAAUAGUGUAAAAUUAUUAAGGCUAUAACAAAUUAAUAAAAUAUUCUAAAUAUAUAUUCAAAUGCUAACUAAACUUAUGUAGGAAAUGAAUAGGAUUGUUUACCCAUGAAUUCCAAACUUUCUUUAAACUAAAUUUGCCCAUUUUUAUUUAUGUUAAGUAAUAGAGCAUCUAACACAAUCAUUCCGAUAUACACAAUAAUAGACUUAUUCAAUUGGCAAGUAAUUACUUUAGUGAAAAUGAAGCAUAUAGAAAUAAAAAUUUAUAAUUCCCUAAUUAAUUGCAUUUCCUAUAUGCAUGCUAUUUUCUAAGCAAUGCAAUGGAGACUUUGAGAUUGAGUACUAUUCAAGUUUUAAGUCACAUAUGUAAACCCAUAGGUAUUGAAUUGCCUUGUUAAUUAUAGGAAAAACACCUUGCAAUUUUCUCAUAAUUAGAAUAGCAAAACUAGUAAAAGAAAAGAAAACGGGAAAAAGUCUACAAAAUAUUUUCCAUUAAAGAAUAGAAACAAAGCCCAAACAAUAAUUAAUGAAACAAAAGAAGUUAAUAAAAACAUAACACAGAAUCACAAAAGAGAAAAAAAAAAUGUAUAUUUCAAAACUGAGAAAUGGAGUACCCAUUUAGCACUCAAAAUAAUUCUACUCAAUUCAAUUUUUCAUCCAACAAGAAAUCGAAUACCCAUCUAAACAUUCAAAAUUACUCUAUAUGCUUAGUACAAUAUUUCAUUCAAAGUAAGUGCCAAAUAUAAGUCUAAAGUUUAAGGAAACAUUUUAAGGCUUUUUAAAUAACAAUUUUUUUAUUUAAAUAAAUAAUUAUAGAAUAUUAAUUGUCUUAGAAAAUAGAAACUCUCAUCACAAAAUCUCGCAUUAUGUUCUAAAAUGUUUCUAGUAAAAUCUUCAACUUUAAUAAUUGCCUUCUAACUUGAAGUUGGACAACGGAUAAAUUCAAAUAGAGAAUGACUCACUCAGUGAUUAAAAUCCCUUAAUCAUAAGUGCAGCAAUUUUGUUUGAAACUUAUUAUAUUCUUUAGAAUAUGUAGCUAUUUCACAAUAACACAUUGAAAAUAAUUCGUUUUGUUGUGUUCAAUUUAUCAUGAAGUAAUAUAAAUUAAAGACUCUAGUAUCCUAAUUACCUAGAAAAAUAUGUAUAACAUUGAAUCAUAGGCAUGGUCUAAAAAAAAUGAAUGAAAGGGUAUACCUAUAUUAGAAUAAGAAUCUCUAAAUCCUAUAGUUGUAAGCUUUAAUUCCUUUGCCUAAGAUAAUAUUUUUUUUUUAUCACAAACCAAAUAACUUAAAAUAGAAGGAAUUAAUUUUUUUAUAAAAAAUAAACAAAUAAGGGAAAAUGCAUGCGUAUAAGAAGAAAUAAAGUUAUAAUAUGAAGACAAGGUAUGAAGACAUGGCAAGAAUAAAGAUAGAUAGCUUGCAAGUGAUUUAUGUGGGGAAGGCAAAGAAAUAAGUACCGGUGGUUUGACCAUAGAGAGAUGUUGCCAGAACAUGCUAUCUACCCAAGGUUACUGAUCAUCUUAUAGACAAAGAAUCAAACAUGAGAAGAAAACCUUGUAGAAGAUAGAUAAUCUAUUGUUAACAGUUCUGAUUAUUACCAUCACCUUUAAGAAGUUCUCAAAUCAAAUCCUAACACCUUCCUCAUCAAUGACUAACGUCACAGUUUCUACAGCCUAUGCCAAAUUUUGAACAUCCUACAAUUUCAAUAGCAGUAUAAUCCACCCCCAUUCUAGCUCCCAUUAUGAUUUUAGCAUCUCAAUGCUCCAAUCAUUUGAAAAUAUCUCAAUUAUUUUAGUUUCAGCCCUUCCAUUUAUGUGGUUCCAAACACUUAGACAUCAUGUUGAAGAUUGAAAUCUCUAAUUAAAUAUUAAAAUAAAAAAAAUAACGUUAAUAUUAAAGUAAAAUGAAGAAUGAAUUCUAAAAUCUAUUCUCAAUUUGUCAUAUUUUCUCUAAUUAAUUUAAAAAUCACAAGAUGAUUUAAUUUCUCUAAGAAAGUAUUCUAAAACAAGGAGUUGAGAAAUUUAAAACACUAUUUUCCUUAACCAAAUAAUAUUUUCUCAAAAUAAUCAAAUUUGCAUUCUUAAAAUCAAAUGACAUAAACAAAUCACCCUAUUCUUGAAAGUGCCAUCAUAAUUCACAUUCUACAACCCAAGUUAACAAGACCAUAUGAUGUCAUCUCAAAGGCAUAUGAGGUGGCCACACUUUUAUCCCUAAUUCAUGAUUUAAUAUAAAAGGACUAGCUCCUUAUUUACUACAAAUUAAUAAAUAAACUGAUGGAGACUUGCUUUAAUUUAAUGUAUACUCCAACUGAAAGAAAGAGAUAUGCAAUGUGAGAACUUCUUAAGCAUAGGAAAUACCCAAUGCUCGGGAAGCCCUGACACCACCACAAUCUAGACUUGGCCCUAAAAAAGUUUCAAAAAUGAUUAAUUAAAGUUCAAAAUAAAUUUAUAAAUAUAAUCUACAUGAAAAAAAUUUCUACGGUUUAUUACUAGAGUUUAAUUAUUUUAGAACAUUGAAUAAAUAAAUAGAAAUAAGAUCUCAAAAUAUAGUGAAUACCAAAAAAAUAAUAAAAAUAAUUUUCUUACUACAAUUUAUUUCACAAUGUAUAAUAAAUUACAAAUACUAAAAAUAAAUGUACAAAUAAGAAACUUAAAAUGAAUAAACAAAAACUAUACUUAGGUCAUCACAUCUCCAUUAUUAAUAUUCCAAAAGCUUAAGAAAAAAAGAGAAAUAAAUGAAUUUUUGUGAUUACUUCAAAGAUUCUAGUAUCAACAAAAUUAGGAAAAAAAAUCAUGUUUAACUAUCAUAAUCUAAAAUCCUACCAAAACAUAAAACAACAACAAUAAUAAUAAUAACAAAUCAAUUGAGCAUCAAUUCUUUUUCCUGCCCAAAACCUCUCACUUUUAUGCCAAAAACAAAAAGCCCACAAUACUCUCCACUACCUAAUAAAAAAAAAAGGCAUAAAAAAGAGAGACCCCACUGCACCCUCACUCCUCUUUCUUUCUUUCCUUCCUCCGUAGAAUACCCACAAUGAUUUUUCCUAUCUAGAAAACCCCUCAUCCAUAGUCUUUUGCUCUAUCGAGCUUCUUCACCUAACCUCAUAUUACUCUUCUCCUCAAUUUUUACCUCUCGUAAUCUAACCUAAAAUACCCACACAUAAUGCCCUCAUCAUUCUUUCCACAAACUCCUUCCCUCAUAGCUUUCCCAACCUUAGAUCUUCACAAUGCCUCUGCACAACUAAUAAUGGUGCAUGCAAAAGUAAUGCAAUCUACUACUAAUAAUAGUGCUUUCCUAAAGGUCAAAUACCAGCAUGAUCCCACUAAUUUGUCUUAUUUUUUCUUCAUUCAGUCCAAACUAUUUAUUAGAGGAUACAAGUGAUUCAAGCCCCUUAUUCUUAUGCUUCUUCACCACCAUAGAAAAAAUACCAACUAUUUUUUUUUUGAUAAAGAGAAUAAAAGAAAUUUCAACAACACCACACAUAUUCUAAUAAACAUUCAUAUCAAUUAUAGGCCUUUUGGCAAAAUUCAAAAUUGAUUAUUGCAAUGUUUAACAUGAAAAAUGUAAAGACAAAAUGGUUGUAGAUCUCCAAAUUGUGAUAGUUUCUCAAAAAACUGAAACUUAAAUAGGGCUCCAACCUAUCUCUUAAUCCUAAAUCUCAUAUAUCUAAAGAAAUCCAUCCAUAAGAGACUAGAUAAAGAACAAGUAACAGAAAAUUAGAAAGAAUUCCAUUAUGUUUCCUGUUUUAUACAUUUUUGAGGCAUUGGGAAUCAACAUUGAAAUGGGAAUUUACCUUGAGAUUUUUGUCACAUUCUGGAACACCUAGUUUAUGCUUUCCUCUUUAAGAAAGCAUUGCAAUUGUGUGUGUUUUUUUUUCUUGACACCUAAUUCAAAGAACAGUUGUUUCAGUUUUUAUAUAAAUAACUAAUUCCUAAUUUCUAGAUGGUUUCAUUUGUAAUGGUUGAAUGGCAUUCUUUUGGAACAGAGCAAAGGUUAAUGUUGGAAAAUCUUCUUCUUAGAACAUAUAAACACAAGAAAGAGAAUCAUAUUUUGAAUGACAUUAAUAAGUGAAACUAUUCAGAUAGUUAAUUGAUGAUUAAAUAUUUCUAGCAAGCAUAAAGUAGCAAUACCACAAAGGGAAGCCUUCAACUAGAUGAAUAACUCUCAAGGAGGCUUUGUUACAGAUACUAUGCACAAAAUAGCAACCAAAAUUAGCUUUAAAGAAAUAAAGAGAGAAAAACAAUAGUUCAAUGGGAAAAACAACAUGUGAAUUUACCAAUAGAAAAGGCUCCAUCAUAUACCAUACAAGACUUACCAAACAUCCCUUUUCCUUAUUAACAUGGAAGAUAAAUCACCAACAGAACUGCCACACCCCCAACUAAGUUGGAAACUUGGGAAUCAAGUCAAGAAUCAUGAUACAAGUAGGAAUUGCCACUAUAGGGAUGACAGAAAUUUGAUGCAUUUUCAAAUCCUACAAGGAUCUUAUACAUGCAAAGGAUUAUUCAUCCAUAAAAAUAUGAAAAUUUUCAGCUUUGUUUCCACAAAAAUGCAAAAACUCAUUCCAAAUAGCCAACCCUUCAAGUCACAAAUUCACAAUCCACGGAGUCCCAAUUUUUGAAAUCUUUCCAAUUAAAAAUUCACUUUUGCUAAAAAAAAUUUGCUUUUGCUAAAACUUUUUACCUUUCACAAUAAGAUUUCUAAUUUCCAUGCCUAUGUUACCUGCAGUGACCAUCAUCUCCAUAAAGCUUCCUUUUCCUCCAACCCAUGGACUUCUCAUCUGGAUGGUCCUUUGAUUCGAACUCUAUUGACCCCCAAAAUAAAUCUUCCUAACCAGAUGCAGAUCAGACUCGAGCUAGUCUUAGAACAGAAACCUUCACAUUUUCUGGCUGUUUCACGGAGGAGAUCAGAGCAGGAUCUUGAAAAUGAAAACCCCUAAACAGCUCUAGCUACUCACCAACUACACGUCGUUGUUUCACGAUGUGAUGUACCACCACAAAAUUGUCUCCCGCCUCAGUUUUGAUUUCGUUGCCACUCAAAUCUAUGAGACUCCAUUAUCGACAAGUUAAGAAUAAUUGUAGAUCGGAGUUUGAAUAUAGUAUUCUUCCAAAGGUUAAGGGUUUUCAAUAGAGAGAGAGAAGGCUUAGGGUUUUCAACGAGAGUGAAGGCUUAGGGUUUUUUAUGCUCUGAGGGUUUUUGAUCUUUGAAGGGUUUUGAUACUCACAGCUGGUCUUCUAAGGCUUGUUGGGGUGCUAAAUAUGUCUUUUGGCGGGUGCGGCAAAUCAUAUGGAGGUAAUGGGAAAUAUAUUACAUACUAUGUAAGAAAGAACAUGACACUUUUUAGCGCCAAGGAUGCCUAUUGAAAUCUGUAUACAAUGAUGCUUAAAAUAAGCGCCAACGUCUUUAAACUUUUACAGUUCAAUGACGCUUAUAGUGGCGUCAUAGUAAACAAGCGCCAACAUUUUAGUAUAUCUAACUAAAUAAUGACGCUUUUUCAAAAGCACCAAGGAUAAG